UCUAUCAGCCUACACAUAGUCUUUGCCGGCGUUGCUCGCAGCGUUGGAUCGUGGGUAGCGUAACGCUUUCCCUGAAUCCUUCUUGCCGCAGUUGCAGCACAGGAAGGCUCCCCCGAUGAUGAUGAGGAAGGCAGCUCCCCAUCCGACAAAGAGGGCGCUCCCGAAUUCGUACCUGCCGUAGUCAAACAUUUAACAACUCGCACGCACAUUAUCGAUCACAGUCACCCCCACCUGGAAUUAGUCGGAGUGAAGGGGUCGUAAAAAUCCUGCGCUAUCCUGUUGGCGUACCACGACGUUCCCACCAGAGCCAGGAGGCCUGGAACGUAAACAAUCCAGAAGUCAAAGAAGAGGCGGCGUGUGGUGCGUGUUACAUGCGUGUUUCAAGGGGAUCACCGGCUAUGAUCAAGAUGAUCCCGCCGGUUAAAGCCACUUUGUCCUUCUGCUCGGGCUGAUCUGUUAAACAGGUGGUACACUUCAUGCCCACGACAGCCACCAAGAUGGCGAUCAAGCACAGCAAGAUGGCCGCCAGCAUCAGUCCACGCGUGCCCACAACAAUACCUGGGAGUGACCUGAAAAAAGGGAGGCUCUACCACUUUUACAGUUCGCCCUGACUGGGAUUUGAACCUUGGUUACCAAGCACCAUGGAGCCACCUACAAAAAUAAAAGACAUCAUUAAUAAAGCAGGACACCAGUGAUGUGCCAGCACUCCUGAUUCUGAAGGCCCUUGCCAGAUCACAUAUGACGACACCUAGAACCUUAAAUCUACUGCCAGGAGACACGUUCUUGGGAAUAAAUUUAAACCCAAAAUUCAACCUUUUCAGUGUCGGCCAUUUUGGACGAUUUUGGACAAUUUUUCAAGGCACACAGAAUAUUGUGUUAUAUGGCUAUAUACGUAAAUAUGAAACCUAAGUUUGUUUCUACCAUUUUCCGUUAUUUAGUAAUAAGCAGUAGCUGAUAGGUAAGUUUCAGGAAAAUAUCAGUUCCCAACUAAAAAAUAAAAAAGUGAG